CUUUUGUCAAUUUGUUUGCUCUGGUUUUACUUUUGUAGAGUUUUAUAUUCCAGUGAUAGGCAUGUCGUAGUCCCAACUUUAUCCAAUUUCAAUUUUUAUUCAUACUAACAAUGAUGAUGAUUGCAUGUUAUUUGCAGUCCCAUGGAAUCAAAUUAAUGAGAACACACAUAACCUUCAAUUGCCAUGGAGAUGCAAAUAUGGAAGUUACAAUCAUCCCUAGUAUAGCACUCAUACAUAUCAAUCCUACUGUCACUUUGAAAUGCUUUAUAGAUCGAUAAGGGGUCUGGGGGACUUUAUCCUCUGUCAGGUAUGGAAGUGAAGUUCAACGGAACAAGAGAACUAAAUAUGAUACAGCAAACUAUAUGGAUCGGAUAACGAUUGUGCUUUAAAAGAUGGGCAGCAAAGGUACUUGUGAAUAGCAAAGAAGCUUGUGAUUAUGGGCGAAAGGUUUGGUACUUCAUAUGGUAUUGCUUGGAGAAGUGAGAAGGGGAGCAGGGGUAGAAGCUCAAGGAGCUUUCGAAAGAUGAUGAAGUGUCUCUGCUCGGGAUAGUAGUUAAGAGCACCAGAUGAUUUGAUAUUUUUCAGAUGUGGAAUGAGUGGGCUAAGUUUGUCGUCAAUACAUGUAUCUAGGAGCUAUUAGAAUGAUUUUUUGUGUUUUAAUGUAUGGAUGAUUGGGAAAUACGUCCUUUAUAGUACAUUUAAUUCUUUAAUGUAUGAAUUGGAGUACUUUAAUUGAUGAAUUGGAGUACUUCAAUUGAUGAAUUGGAUUCAAA